rnacentral:rRNA from 1 species
AUGUUGGGUUAAGUCCCGCAACGAGCGCAACCCUUAAGCUUAGUUGCCAUCAUUAAGUUGGGCACUCUAAGUUGACUGCCGGUGACAAACCGGAGGAAGGUGGGGAUGACGUCAAAUCAUCAUGCCCCUUAUGAUUUGGGCUACACACGUGCUACAAUGGACAAUACAAAGGGCAGCGAAACCGCGAGGUCAAGCAAAUCCCAUAAAGUUGUUCUCAGUUCGGAUUGUAGUCUGCAACUCGACUACAUGAAGCUGGAAUCGCUAGUAAUCGUAGAUCAGCAUGCUACGGUGAAUACGUUCCCGGGUCUUGUACACACCGCCCGUCACACCACG